rnacentral:rRNA from 1 species
CAGUCGCCGCGGUAAUACGAAGGGGGCUAGCGUUGUUCGGAUUUACUGGGCGUAAAGGGUGCGUAGGCGGAUUGUUAAGUCAGGGGUGAAAUCCCGAGGCUCAACCUCGGGACUGCCUUUGAUACUGGCGAUCUUGAGUCCGGGAGAGGUGAGUGGAACUGCGAGUGUAGAGGUGAAAUUCGUAGAUAUUCGCAAGAACACCGGUGGCGAAGGCGGCUCACUGGCCCGGUACUGACGCUGAGGCACGAAAGCGUGGGGAGCAAACAGGAUUAGAUACCCCAGUAGUCCCUGUCUCUUAUAA